rnacentral:rRNA from 1 species
AUUGAACGCUGGCGGCAUGCUUUACACAUGCAAGUCGAACGGCAGCACGGGUGCUUGCACCUGGUGGCGAGUGGCGAACGGGUGAGUAAUGCAUCGGAACGUGCCCAUGAGUGGGGGAUAGCCCGGCGAAAGCCGGAUUAAUACCGCAUACGCCCUUAGGGGGAAAGCGGGGGAUCUUCGGACCUCGCGCUAUUGGAGCGGCCGAUGUCGGAUUAGCUAGUAGGUGAGGUAAAGGCUCACCUAGGCGACGAUCCGUAGCUGGUCUGAGAGGAUGAUCAGCCACACUGGGACUGAGACACGGCCCAGACUCCUACGGGAGGCAGCAGUGGGGAAUUUUGGACAAUGGGCGCAAGCCUGAUCCAGCCAUGCCGCGUGAGUGAAGAAGGCCUCGGUGUAA